UACGUAGGGAGCUAGCGUUGUUCGGAAUUACUGGGCGUAAAGCGCACGUAGGCGGCUUUUUAAGUCAGGGGUGAAAUCCCGGGGCUCAACCCCGGAACUGCCCUUGAAACUGGAGAGCUAGAAUCUUGGAGAGGCGAGUGGAAUUCCGAGUGUAGAGGUGAAAUUCGUAGAUAUUCGGAAGAACACCAGUGGCGCAGGCGACUCGCUGGACAAGUAUUGACGCUGAGGUGUGCAAGCGUGGGGAGCAAACAGG
rnacentral:rRNA from 1 species